AAUGAACGUUGGCGGCAUGGAUUAGGCAUGCAAGUCGAGCGGGUGUAGCAAUACAUCAGCGGCGUAAGGGACAGGAACACGUAGAUUACCUGCCCUCGGGUCUGGGAUAGCCACGGGAAACUGUGGGUAAUACCAGAUGAUAUCUCCGGAUCAAAGGUGUGAUUCAGCCCGAGGAUGGGUCUGCGUCCUAUUAGCUAGUUGGUGAGGUAAUGGCUCACCAAGGCGAUGCUGGGUAGCAGGUGUGAGAGCACGACCUGCGUCAUUGGGACUGAGACACUGCCCAGACACCUACAGGUGGCUGCAGUCGAGAAUUUUUGGCAAUGGGCGAAAGCCUGACCAAGCGAUGCCGCGUGCGGGAUGAAGGCCUUCGGGUUGUAAACCGCUGUCAGUGGGGAGGAAAGCUUUGUGAAGAGCAAGGCUUGACCUAUCCGCAGAGGAAGUGUGGGCUAAGUUCGUGCCAGCCGCCGCGGUAAUAC
rnacentral:rRNA from 1 species